GUGUCAGCAGCCGCGGUAAUACGGAGGGUGCGAGCGUUGCUCGGAAUCACUGGGCGUAAAGCGUACGCAGGCGGAUCGUUAAGUCGGGUGUGAAAGCCCGGGGCUCAACCCCGGAACUGCAUCCGAAACUGGCGGUCUUGAGUACGGGAGAGGGAGGUGGAAUUCCUGGUGUAGAGGUGAAAUUCGUAGAUAUCAGGAGGAACACCGGUGGCGAAAGCGGCCUCCUGGCCCGAUACUGACGCUCAUGUACGAGAGCGUGGGGAGCAAACAGGAUUAGAUACCCUGGUAGUCCACGCUGUAAACGAUGAGUGCUAGCUGGUGGGAAUGUUUACCGUUUCACUGGCGAAGCUAACGCAUUAAGCACUCCGCCUGGGAAGUACGGCCGCAAGGCUAAA
rnacentral:rRNA from 1 species